AACGAACGCUGGCGGCAGGCCUAACACAUGCAAGUCGAGCGCGCCCUUCGGGGUGAGCGGCGGACGGGUUAGUAACGCGUGGGAACGUGCCCAGAUCUAAGGAAUAGCCACUGGAAACGGUGAGUAAUACCUUAUACGCCCUUCGGGGGAAAGAUUUAUCGGAUUUGGAUCGGCCCGCGUUAGAUUAGGUAGUUGGUGGGGUAAUGGCCUACCAAGCCUACGAUCUAUAGCUGGUUUUAGAGGAUGAUCAGCAACACUGGGACUGAGACACGGCCCAGACUCCUACGGGAGGCAGCAGUGGGGAAUCUUGGACAAUGGGGGGCAACCCCUGAUCCAGCCAUGCCGCGUGAGUGAUGAAGGCCUUAGGGCCUAAAGCUUCUUUCGCCUGUGAUGAUAAUGACAGUAGCAGGUAAAGAAACCCCGGCUAACUCCGU
rnacentral:rRNA from 1 species